ACCAGGGGUGUGUGGAACUGACAGGAAAAUGGAGCUGAGACCACAAUCAGAUCAGCCAUGAUCUUAUCGAAAAGCAGAGCAGGCGCAAAGGGUCAAAUGGCCUACUCCUGCUUGAGGUCCUAUGUUUUUCCUGGCCUCUUCCAAAACCUAAAUGUUCUACAGUCAAACACUGCCCUUAACUACUUCCUCCCCCUUGCUGAGGAAUAAAUUCAUGAGGUUUGAGGAACAGACAUCCCUUAGCUCUUAAACCUGUAACUGGUUUUUGGGAUAAUUGUGCAAAAAUCUGUUUCCUUUCCCCAGACAUGUUGUAUACAUUGAAUUUAGAAUGUCCCAGUGGAGCCCACCAGAUGGUUUAGUAUGUAAAUACAUCACCUAGUGUACUACCAAGCUCUACAUCAAGCAGGGAGAUCCCACGUUUGAUAACUUACCUUGCUAAUCUGUGUGUAUGGGGUUGCAUGCUACACGUGGCCUUUGUGUUGGGCUAUCAAGGAGAAAGUCAGUUAGUUCUCAUUUCUAAUCAUUGUUCAGUAACUGUUGCCACAAAGCGGAUGGGUGUCAGAAGAAUAGCAGAUUAGCUUCUGACGCAUGGUUCCCAGCAACCUGAUAACACUUGCUGUCUAGCCUCGCCAUGAACUAUCACUUGGGUGAGCUCCUAGAGUGCAGCAGGUGCUUCUCGAACUGUACCCCAGCAAGAGUCAGCACGUAAUGAAAAACACAAUCCCCAAUGUGCUCCAGUUCAAGUAUUAGUCAGUCAAAACAAAAUGGAAAAUAGAGAAAGAGGAGCCAUGUGCAAACUACAUUGUGCUCCCAUAUCAUUUCCUCUAUACUAAAGACUGUUCCUGUAGUUCUCAUAUAAGUUGCUGAUCUUAUACCUGUGUGGACCUAUAAAGGAACACAUCAGAUAAUUGCUAGCUUUUAGACUUUUAAAGCAUUAAAACUUGUACGUUUAUUUAUAACUUGCAUGCAUAUGCUAAUAUUAUCACUUGUGUUGCAUCCCUAGCUUGAGUUCUCAUUUUAACUUCCAGAAAUGAGGCAGUCAUUUUGGAGCCCAGUGGAAAAACAAUGGUCUUCAAAUCUUAUUGAUCUAGCUCGGCUGCCAUUUUGCCAUCCAAUAUCCAACAUAUAUGAUUUUCUUCCUAUAAAAUACAGGAAUCCCAAUGGAUAUCAGAGCACUGACUACCCCUCAAGCAGAUGCUGAUUUAAAAAUUUACACAUGCGUGCACACAAACACAAAGGGUAGAAUUUUACAGCCCUUACCACCGGCAGGAUUUUCCAGUUCUGCUGAAGUCAAUGGACUUUUGAACAGCUCGCUGCAUUUUACAGCCCUGCCCCGCACUGACAGGGCCAUAAAAUUCCGCCCAAAGUACAGGCUUGGCCACCAUAUUGAAAUGGUAUUGCUUCUCUGAAUGUGUACAGAAUGAUGGAGAACUCUUUCUAGACUUGAAUGCAAUCAAAGAAUGUUGAUGGAAGCUCAAACACUUUACAGACAUUUUCAGGGUUUCUCCAUUAUUACAAAUUUGUCUCUAAUACUUGUUAUUUGCAAUAAGAACAGAAAAUGCUGGAAAAGCUCAGUGGGUCAGGCAGCAUGUGUGGAAGAAGAGAAACAGAGUUGAUGUUUCAGGUCAAUGUCUGUUCAUCUGAACUGGGAAGGGUUAGAGAAGUAGCAGGUUUUAACUAAGUCCAAAGGCAGAGAAAAUGGGGGAGGGAGGAAAGAUCAAAAGGAAGGUCUGUGAUAGGGUGGGAGGCAGGAGUGAGUAAAUGACAAAAAGGUUGAUGGUGUCAGGAAAAAGCUGGUAAUGGAGCAAGUGGAGAAACAAAAAAUGGGUCUACAGGAGGUGCGAAUGUGAAAGUAGAAUCAUCACUAAUAUCUGAAAAAAAUGGGAGUGGUGGUUACGAUUUGUUGUUCAACUCAAUGUUGAGUCCAGAAGGCUAUAAAGUGCCUAUUCAAAAGAUGACAUGUUCCUCAAAUUUGCAUUGAGCUUCAUGGGAACACUGCAGUCAGGUAAGGAAAGAGAGUGGAGAAUGAAAAUUACAGGCAACUGGAAGCUUGAGGUCAUGCUUGUGGACUAAAUGGAGGUGUUCCACAAAGCAGUCACCCAAUCUCCGUUUAGUCUCCCCAAUGUAGGGACACUGCAGUGUGAGCAGCGAAAGAGUGUACAAAAUUGAAUGUAUGAGUAAAUUGCUGUUUCACCUGGUAGGAGGAGUGUUUGGAGACCUGGAUGGUGGAAAGGGAGGAGAUAAAAGGCUAGGUGUUGCAUCUCCUGCACUUUAGUGGGAAGGGGAGAGAGUGUUGGGAAUGGUUGAGGAAUGGGCUAGGCUGUCACAGAGGGAAUGGUCCCUUUGGAAUGCUGAAAGAGGAGGGAAAGAUAUGUUUGGUGGUGACAUCAAGCUGGAGAUGGGGGAGGACGAUCUGUUGAAUGUGGAGGCUGGUAGGAUGGAAAGUGAGGACAGGGGGAACCAUAUCGUGGUUCUGUGGGGGAAGGGGAAGGGAUGAGACCAGAAGUGCAAAAAAUGGCACAGAUGCGUUCGAGAGCCCAGUCAGCUAUGGUAUGGGGGGACGGAAUCCUCAGUUGAAGAAAAAAAUAAGUCAUAUCAAAAGCAUUGGUAUGGACUGUGGCAUCAUCAGAACAGAUGCAACAGAGAUGGAGAAACUGGGAGAAUGGAAUAGAGUCAGUGCAGGAAGUGGGUGGGAGGAGAUGUAGUCUACAUAACUGUGGGAGUUAGUUGGCUUAUAGUGUAUAUUGGUCGAUAGCCUAUCUCCUGAAAUGGAGACAGAGAAGUCGAGGAAGAGAAAAAGUCAGAGAUUGACCAUGUGAAGGUGAGGGAAGGGUUGAAAUUCGAAAUAAAUCUGAUGGAACUUUCCAGUUCAGGGUGAAAGCAGUUAAUGGUACCGAUACAGUCAUCAAUGUACUGGAAAAAGAAAUGAGGGAGGGGACCUUGUUAUUAACACUGCUUAACAUACAUUACAAAUAACUCUUGCUUUAUUGCCGACUUCAGUUGCUCUCAUUGUUUAAAAUACUGUACUCAGUUCACAGUUUAGCAGUCCAGACAGCAUGAUCCUAUUUUCACUUGCAUCAACUAAAAGAAGUUAAUUAAGAGAGGACAACCAAAUACACGUGAUUAGAAAGAAAGAACUUGCAUCUAUAUAGUACUGUUCAUGUCCUGUGCACAGAAAAGCCAAUUUGUACAUAGCAGGUUCCCAAAAACAGUAAAAGAUAAAUGAUGAGAUAAUCUGUUUUGGGUGCAGGAUAAAUGCUGAUUGGAAUUGUUUUUAUUAUUCAUUUACGGCGUGUGGGCUUUACUAGCUAGGCCAGCAUUUAUUGCCCAUCCCUAAUUGUCCUUGAGAAGGGUCAACUAUCCUGAUCUCUCUGAAUGGUGCUGAAGAAUCUUCUAUGUCCAUCUGAGAGAGCAGACAGGUCCUUGGUUUAACAUCACACCCAAAAGGUAGAACCUCCAAGACGGCCGCACUCCCUCAAUAGUGCAAUAAACUUUCAGCUUAGAUUAUGUGUUCAAACCCUAGAGUGUGCCUUGUCAGAGCUAAGAGUACUACCACUGAACCAAGGCUGACAGCUCAUUGGGUGACCUCAGCCAGAGUAGCAGUGGUAUAAUUGACUUCAGCGACCAUGAGUUAAGGAGAGAAAUAUCAUUCAGGCUCCCCACUCCUGGCCACUAUCCAGCAGUCCCUGGAUAAAACUGUAAUGCCCCAUGCAAUCAAAUAAUUUGUGACAUUCAUUGCCCAGAUUCACAUGUAAAUACCAGUCACCUGAGCACUGUACGAGAGGGUGACAGGUAGCAUUAGAACCAUACCUGAGCGAGAAGCCAGCAACUUUGUGGUGGAGGAGGGGAAGAUAAAAUUUCAAAUUGUUGAUUUAUUUUUCAAAUCAGCUGGAAUUUUUCACACAUUAACAGCGAUAUCACAAAAACUAAUGAUGCAUAUUACAACAUGUACAGUCACUGUCUUUCCCACAGUUAAUAGAUUAAUUGGCAUGUCACUAACAAUUCUUUAGAUUAGAAAAGAGUAUUUGAGUGAAAUCACGCAGCUAGAACGGUUGCUGCACACAACCAGCAGAACUACCAAAAUGUUAAGAGUGGUAAUCUUGGUAAGCCUGGCUUCGCAUGGUGAGUAGAAACAUUUGUAUCUUACAGUAUAACUGGAUGUUGAGCAGGCAUUGAUUUGGUCAAUAUGGAUCCAAUCUGGUCAGUGUGAUCUGGACUCCUCUGUCUCAUUUUACAUGAACUUCAAAAUCCCCUGUAUGUUCACACAGAUCUACAAUAGAGGAUUCUCCACAUAAGAGCCUAUCUUUUGAAGUAACUCCAAGAGAAAGUAUGUCUACUGUGUGGAUCACUUCCCUGCUAUACAAGGAUACAGAUGGUCCCAGCCACACCAGAGGGUUGUAGUUUUACUCAUUCUCUGAUAGAAGAAACUUUUGGGGGACAGUGAUCUAAAGUGCUCCUCCCGAGACAUAAGCAUGUAAUGUAGGCUGACACUUCAGUGCAAUACUGAGAGAAUGCUGCAUGUUGAAGUUGCCCAUCUUUCAGUUAAACUGAAGACCACUCUGACCUCUCAGGCGGAUAUUAAAGAUCCAAUGGCACUAUUGUUAACUGAGCAAUGAGGUCUUCUGGAGUUCUGGCCAACAUUUAUUCCUCAACCGACAUCAUUAAAACAUUGAAGAUCUAAUCUUUUAUCUUACAGCCGUUUGUAUGACUUAUUGUGCGCAUAUUGGCUGCCAUGUUUGCCUACAAAACAACAGUGACUAUACUUCAAAAGUACUUUAUUAGCUGUGAAGUGCUUUAUAUCCUUUCUCCUUCAUGAGUACUUGCUGUAUCUAUCCUUAUCAAAAAUCCAAUGGAAUUUUGAUUAACUUCACACAGUAUUUAUAACAUCUUUUUAGGGCUUUGUAGGCCUUACUUAUUGUUUUCUUUCUUCAGAGAGAAUCUGUCCAUAGAAAUAGUUUAAAUUCGCAACAACAAAAGCUUUACAACUGAUGACCAGGUGGCGUUUGCUGCAUAAAAUAAGUGAGGGGGGGUUCCACAGACCUUCAAUGUGCAGUGCCAUGGAAUGGUAUAAGAUGGGCUGUCCAACUCAAGAGUUGCCUAAGGACAUGCACAAUGUCCUUGUGAUAUUGUGUUAAACUGAGGGAAGCUGUUUCCCCAUUAGGUGGAAAGAUCAAGGACUGGUUACAUUAAUGCACCUCUAAGUAAGUAGAUCUGACAAAAACCUGGAAGUAGACUGUCAAUCAAUCCACUCAUCCACAGCUGAUGCAUGGUUCAAGGAAACCAGUAAAGAAUAGAAAGCAGCAAAAAUAUUCUGGAAAAUGAUUGAGCACUGUGCAUAGCCAAAAAAUCACCCAAGAAAACAGAAAAUGAACACUUUCUGAUGAACAGUUAUGAAGAAUAACAGAACAGUAAUCACCGGAAUGCUUUCCUCACUUUCCCUAAUCCUGGCCAGGUUUGAUAUACCGUUGGCGCUGGGUGACCACAACAUUUAUGUGACGGAAGGUCCUGAACGGUACAUAUCAGUUGAUAAAGUUGUGCUGAAUAAGCAGUGAUGCGCAGACCUUUCCAUUGGGCAUGACAUCGCAAUGGUUCGUCUUGUUCAAAAAGCAGUUCUCAAUGACAAAAUUCAGCUUGGAUUACUGCCACCAAAGGGAGAGAUUCUGCCAAAUGACUACCUGUGCUAUGCCACUGGGUGGGGUUACACUUUUAAUAUGUGUUUUUGGUUCUAUGCUUGAAAAUUCUUCUCAUAGUAUUAUAGAAAUUAUAAUUAUAAGAAGACCAUUUGACCAAUCAUAUCUGUAUUGGAGAUUGGCUCUUCAACUUAAGCUAGUCAUGUUAGUUAGGUGAAACAUGAGCUUCAUAAUGAAAAGCCCCAAUGUUCAAUUGAAGAACAGCAAGCAAUGCAAUAUUUUGUCUGAAAAUAAUUUCCACCUGGGAAUUGGGAAGAAGCAAGAGGCAGACAAAGCAGACAGAGACUCAUUUUUAAGAGGCUUCAUGUUGAACCAAUGCUGAGCGCAAGAUCAAAACAAAUCAUUCUUAGGAUAGUUGCUGCGCUAAUUUCAUAUGUUCUCCUUUCAUCACUACGGCCUUGUGUGAUGAAAGUAUAAUAAUUUUCAGAAUAUUUUUCUGGAUUAUUGUGAAGUAGGUUUAUUGGGGUAAGUAUAGUUGGGUCUGUAUGUGAUUUAAUUAUAGUUUGUAGUCAAGUAGACUGCAAGCUUUAAAUCAUCAAAAGAAGCUAGGUGCUUCACAUACUAAUGAGUAAACAUGGAAGCUGGCUUAGCAUGUAUGGUGUGAAGGGAAUUCGCAUUUUUAAAUAAAUUAAGAGACUUGGAUUUCAAAGGGAUCUUACUCUGUUUACAACUAGCCAGAUAAGCAAGGCUAAGGAAUGUGUGUAUUUUUCCCAAAGGUUGCUGAAAAUAUAUAUUGGUAACAUGAAAGUUUUAUAUUACAGGGAAGAUACAGUUUCAAAGACAUAUGGAACAAUGUUGGUGCAGACUCGAUGGGCCGAAGGGUCUCUUCUGCACUGUGUGAUUCUGUGAUUGCAUAGAAUUUAUAUAUUAAAAAAGAGAAACAUAUAUAAAGGAGAAUGAAAGGCUAGGUGUCAGAAGGCCAUGUAAGAUCGAACAAGAGUGUGUGAAAUAGUCUUAACGAAGCCGCCAGCAUUUGUGCAUAAGUCUGCUAUAUAACAAAACUGAAGCUGGGGAAAAUCCUUUUGGAAUUCCACUGUCCAGGGUAUUGUUUUAACUUGCUGAGUUAAAUCUAAAAUCUAUUUUGGACCAUUGCCUUAAAGAGAGUGUAACUGGAGGUCAGGUUAAUUAGGAAUUUUAGCAGUUAAUAUCAUAGUAAGUAAUUUGUAGUCUUGUGUAUGUGCUUAAAAUUUUUUACAUUUUGUUAAUAAAUAUCUUAAUUUAAUUU